CGCUGGCGGCGUGCUUACACAUGCAAGUCGAGUGCGCGCCUGUAGCAAUACAGGUGGCGCACGGCGCACGGGUGCGUAACACGUGGGUAACCUGCCCUUUGGUGGGGAAUAACUCCGCGAAAGCGGAGCUAAUUCCGCAUAAGAUCCGCAAGGAUGAAAGCCGCAAGGCGCCGUUGGAGGGGCCCGCGCCCGAUUAGCUAGUUGGUAGGGUAAUGGCCUACCAAGGCUUUGAUCGGUAGCUGGUCUGAGAGGAUGGCCAGCCACACUGGAACUGAGACACAGUCCAGACUCCUACGGGAGGCAGCAGUGGGGAAUCUUGCACAAUGGGCGAAAGCCUGAUGCAGCGACGCCGCGUGGGGGAUGAAGCAUCUCGGUGUGUAAACCCCUUUCGAUCCGGACGAAUACCUCGCAAGAGGGGUGACGGUACGGAUAUAAGAAGCCCCGGCUAACUACGUGCCAGCAGCCGCGGUAAGACGUAGGGGGCCAGCGUUGUUCGGAAUUACUGGGUGUAAAGGGUCAGUANGCGGUGUGGCAAGUUGGGAGUGAAAUCUCUGGGCUCA
rnacentral:rRNA from 1 species